AUACGGAGGAUCCGAGCGUUAUCCGGAUUUAUUGGGUUUAAAGGGUGCGUAGGCGGCCUUUUAAGUCAGCGGUGAAAGUCUGUGGCUCAACCAUAGAAUUGCCGUUGAAACUGGGGGGCUUGAGUAUGUUUGAGGCAGGCGGAAUGCGUGGUGUAGCGGUGAAAUGCUUAGAUAUCACGCAGAACCCCGAUUGCGAAGGCGGCCUGCAAAGCCAUGACUGACGCUGAUGCACGAAAGCGUGGGGAUCAAACAGGAUUAGAUACCCUGGUAGUCCACGCAGUAAACGAUGAUCACUAGCUGUUUGCGAUACAGUAUAAGCGGCACAGCGAAAGCGUUAAGUGAUCCACCUGGGGAGUACGCCGGCAACGGUGAAACUUAAAGGAAUUGACGGGG
rnacentral:rRNA from 1 species